CGUAUCUCUCUCUCUCUCUCUCUCUCUCUCUCUCUCUCUCUCUCUCUCUCUCUCUCUCUCUCUCUCUCUCUCUCUGUCCCCAUGGCUGGCUGGGGCGCUGGGGUGCUGGCGAGGCAACACUCCUGCCCCGCCUCGGACUCAUCGCAGCCUCGUCAAAGAACAAGCCAGCGCCAAGUACACGAGUUGGGACGAAACGACACCGUGACGCAGUGGGCCUCUGGUCUCGUGGACAGUGAUCUGCCGCAAGAGGAAGGAUGCACGUGAGUUUUGUCCUGGCCACGGAAUUCCGGAUAACGCAGGUGUUUGGGAGAGUGGAUGAUCAGACAGGACUGAGUAGAUGCUGAGUCUCGGGAGUGAACUGUGUGGUGCAGGACUGUAUCGGUUAUGCAGUCUCUUUAUAACGAGAGACACAUCGUGGAGGAGGCUGGCGAGUGCUCUCAACACACGUGACGGAGCGGCGCCAUGGUAACUGUCACCGUGGCCAGGAAGUCUCUUGUGCUGAACACUACAAUGUUGUGUUAUCAAGACUGUGUAUUGGUGCAGCGCAUACAGUCGGAUCACUAAGCGUGUUGUAGUGAUGAAACUAUGGAAACUAUGGCGAAUGAUUAUUGAUCGUUGGAAAAAAGCAUAGGUGUGAUAAUAAUUCGGUGCUUGAGUUACACUAACACUCCAUCACUACCGCCACCACGGCCAUCACCACCGCCAUCACCACCGCCAUAACCACCGCCGCUACUAAGAUGUUGUGUUGGUGGGUGGCUGCGGCUGCGAUAAGAAGUAUUGUUACACCGUUAUGAUAGCGCUGGUUGUGUGAGUGAGGUAACAACUCGGAACAAUUCCUAGUAUUAAGGAAAGGUCACAUU